AAACAGGUUUUGGAACCUGGCUUAUUUAUUCCCCAAACCCGUGUCCUUUCCACUUGACUGUCUUGAAUUUCUGAGGCAAAUCAGAGAGUGGACACAGACAUUCAAGGGGAUGCAGGCUUCUGAUGACAGUCCUCAGCUCUUCUCUAAGGAACCGGAGGGGACUCACAAUCAGCGAGGUCAUUUCGGGAGUUCCGACCCCUGGAGUCUGACUCUCUUGGUGUCCCACACCAUUCCCGCCCCUGGAAGUCUGGUCGGGAUGAGCUGUUAGUCUUUGCUUCUCAUCUCCAGCAGGUUGGAGCUCUCUGCCUGUCUAACCGAGGCGCUGGGCCUGUUGUCCUUCUGUGACCUUCGUCUGUGUUCCGCAUCAGCAUCGCCUUUUCCAUGAUGAUUCGGGGAGGCAGGAGGGCACGAUGGUGCGGGUGCCAAACUUGAGAUGGAAUCCUCUUUGAUAGGUCCAUGGUUCCCAAACUGCGCACCGCAGCACCCAGGGACACCAUGACAGAUUCACGGGGACACCAUGGAAUGAUUGCAGUCUCUGAGAGAAACCCAGCGAUAUCCAACUUCUGUUGACCAGCACAGGAACCAUUAGCUCAAGGUAGCUCACAGUUUCAAAAUGAGACUACACUACAUUUCUUUUCAUGACAUCAUAUCUUUGCAAAGGUGGUGUUUUGGUGAUUGCUGUGAUAAAAAGUCGGCACCUCCGGAAAGGCAGAGUGGGACGGGAAAUAAGGGGGGUGGUAUCCCGUCUGAUUCUAAGGCUUCAGAAGCUGUGGAGGGCCCACCACCUACACACAUCCUAUUGAUAAGUUGGCUCAAAAAAAGGCAAGAGAAAAAGAGUCUGAAGUGGGGAAGCCCAGUUUCAUUCAGACGGGCGGAGAAGGAGUUGCAUGAAGACUCCCCGUUCUCUGAGAGGUUGGCUGGGCCUGGGCUCAACUACCACAGGGGACCUGGGGGUGGGGCGGUUGACGCUGGCCUGCUUCCUUCGAAGAGUGCAUUCUGGAACUUGAAAGGAGGAUUCAAGUCACUAAAUGGGCACCCUGACACCUUCUGGGCAAAGGUGAAUGUCCUUACAGUUUUCCACAUAGAAGAACUCAAGUGCAGAGUACUUAAGAAACAUCUACAGUCAGGGAGGCGGGAGGGAGGUGGCAGGAAGCCCGAUUUGAAUUGACUUCUCAGAUUUCUUACUCUAAUUGCUUCACUAUAUUUUCACUAUAUUUUAAAACACUAAAAUGUCUCAAGCUUUUGGCGAGAAGUUUUAAAACAUCAAAAUUCAAUUCUCUGCCAAUUAACAGUCAUUUAAUUUAGAAGUACCUAAUUGAGUUUUCUGAUUUUAAGGUACUAAUGGACUAGAAACUCGUUUGUGCGAUUUCAGCCCAAAGCUAGAUAGUUACGGGUAAGCUGUAUCCUUUCUAAUAGACCUUGAGCGGCAGGGACUUUUCCUGGCAGGUGAGACUAUAACGAGCUUUAAGCUCUUGCUCAAGUGUAUUCUCCACCUGGACUUGAAUCUGUAAUGAAUCAGCCGCUGGAGUCCAAGUGGCCCUCUCAGGAGGCCAGCUGGGUGACAAGGUCAGGGAAAAUUGGUCUUUGCUGGAAGUGUCCUCAGCAAAAAUAUCUCAUUUAAAACCUUCUGGAAGUUGGCAUUUUCUUUUCUUCUUUACAUCAGUGCCCAUACUCCGAUGAGCAGAGCAGAAUAGACACAAAAUUUUGUUAAUACAAUUGUCAUCAGGAUCUAAGAAACCUCAGACAGCAAAGAGACAACGAAAGUACAUUUAAAAUAUUAGAUGUUAUGGGAGAUACUGGGCAUGUUUGUGAGUUCGUGUGACUUGAUAUGUAGCUAAGGCACACUCACAUCAAUUGAGGUGGUGAAGAGUCAUGUCCAACACAGAGGGAUACGUAUUUCUACGACUAAGCUUAGCUCGAAUGUUUCUACAAGAAAGGAACCGAUUCUUACAGUCACACACGCAGGAUUCAAGGUUCCAAAGAUGUAACCACCCAAAGCGUUUACUACAAAACAGUAUAUUUCAACCCUCCUAGUUGUACUACAGUGAUUGGAGAGAGAAAACUAACACAUUUAAUGGGGCUCCUAGCCCAGUGCCUUACAUGUAGUUGAGGCUGUAUUAAUGUUUGUUGAAUGAAUACAUGAAUAUAUGAAUGAAUAAUAAAGUGACAGAAUCAACCAAGCUCCUUUUGUGUCACACUGGCUUUUAAAAGGGGUUUUUAAGUUGAAUCCAAAAGUGCUGUGAAGGCGAAUAUGAUUGUACUACACAAACGAUCCUUGGGUAAAAUUAUUUUCUCUGAAAGCACUCCUGCCUAGAAAUUAGUGUUGGUGUCCUCAGAUUUGGUUGGCCGAACCACCAAGGCGUUCUGAGACCUGCCUCUUGGCCUCCAGAAGAACACGUUGGGGUGGGUCUCCCCACUGCCGGGUCUGCCCCUAGGAGUGGAAAGGAGACGCACCCUACAAGAGGAGGAUAUUCCUACACAGAGGCAGGCGAUACCUGGACACCCAGAGUCUCUCAAAAGGGCUUCCCGUGACUGAAGAAGGGGUUGUAGACGCUCUGAGCCUCCUACGCUGUCGAGCCACUGUUCCUGAAAAGCCAGCGAAUCCCUGUAACAGAGGAUGUGGGGUGGAACAGAAACCGCAUCAUGGACUUUGAAAUCAGAAUUUGGAGUUCGAAUAAAAACAAUCACUAGCUAUGACUCUUACUUCACUUCUUUGAGACUCAGUUUCUCUCUGUGUAAAAUGAGAGUAAUAAACCUACUCUUUCGAAGCGUGAGAUAACGUGUAGAAUGGACUAGCACAAGACCACUCUCCCAGCAGUGGUUGAUAAAUGGUAACCAUUGAUGUUACUGAACAGAUAGACAUCCUGCCUUGGUGCGCUCCUUACCUGUCUCUACCUCUGCAGAAUUUGGAGAAGAGCUGGACUAGGUUAGCGUCUCGCGAACCUGGCUGUGUAUUUGGAGUCACACGAUGUUGAUUGUGCAUCUACUAUAAGCCAGAAGUAUGCUGGGUGUCACACAGAAAGCGUUGACAAAACAAAUACGGCCCCCUGUCCUCAUGGAGUUUACUGUCUAGGAGGGAAGAUGGACAUGAAGCCAGUAAUCCCUGGGCAGAAAGAUCAGAAAAUGUGAAAUGGUCAUUGGUGAUCCCACAAUCGAAGCUUUCUUGUUCUGAACUAUUUUUAACCCUGUUCUUUCCUUGUUUCCUGUCUCUUCCCAUGGACUGCAGGGAAUUUCAGAAGAAAUGCAGUACUCUCCAAUUCUCCAGUCACAACAAUUUUUAAAGUUACAGGCUUCAAGAAAGCUUAAAAUGCACAAUUCAAUGUAUGAGUUAGUAUUCUUAUUGCAGAGAACAGAAUCUUCUCUGGUGAGUGCAAAAGAGUGGUAUUUCCUAGGGAAUAUUGAUAAUUCCCCACCUGUGGGGAGAUGUGAGGGAGUGGACCUAGGCUGAGUUCUCAGGGGUGAGCCCUGAGCCACACUGUAGAAGCAGGCCAUUAAGGGUGGCUGUCACCUCCCCAUUGAUCAGGAAGCUAUCGAAUCAAGAAGUUUCCACUUCAGUUACCAGGUGCGAAUCUACACCUCUCUCCUUCAGUCUGCACCAGCAAACUGAGUGUCCUGUACCCGGCCUGCCCCCGAAACGAUGCAGUUCUGAAUCGAAGUCUCAUGUGAGAGCAUCUGAUUGGGAUGCCCAAACCACAUACAGAAUGGCACUGCAAACCACACCUGAAAAGUGUGGCUUUAGCUUUUUGACCUCAGCUCUCUCAAAGGGCCUGGAGUGGGGGCAGAGUGAGAUGACCCUCAGGAUCCAUCACAAAAGUGAGGGGUAGGGGCUGACCCAUCCGGUGAACAGAGGCACUCUUUAUAAGAAGAGCAGAUUCUCUUGCAUCUCCAACCAUUUCAUUGGCUCCUAGGCAGUGGAAGCACCCUUUUCAGCCGCUUAGUACCUAAUUCAGUUCAACCUAUAAUACACAGAAGAGGUUAAUUAAUCCUUUUGCUCUUGUAAUCCUUUUUGUUAGAUGCCUGACCUGGGGUAGUUUAUUUAUUAGGAGAAUGCCAUCAGUGUCUGGUGUCAGGUUCUUGAUGGGCCAUAGAAUUUCACUUUUGGUUUUGCCGUUUGCUA
ensembl:lncRNA